CAGGAUGAACGCUAGCUACAGGCUUAACACAUGCAAGUCGAGGGGCAGCAGGAUCUUAGCUUGCUAAGAUUGCUGGCGACCGGCGCACGGUGAGUAACGCGUAUCCAACCUUCCCUAGUAGGGCAUAGCCCGAUGAAAAUCGGAUUAAUACCCUAUGUUCUUCAUAGAUGACAUCUGACAUGAAGCAAAGAUUUAUCGCUAAGGGAUGGGGAUGCGUCCGAUUAGGUAGUCGGCGGGGUAACGGCCCACCGAGCCAUCGAUCGGUAGGGGUUCUGAGAGGAAGGUCCCCCACAUUGGAACUGAGACACGGUCCAAACUCCUACGGGAGGCAGCAGUGAGGAAUAUUGGUCAAUGGGCGAGAGCCUGAACCAGCCAAGUAGCGUGCAAGGGAUGACGGCCCUAUGGGUUGUAAACUGCUUUUAUGCGGGGAUAAAGUGUGCCACGUGUGGCGUUUUGUAGGUACCGCAUGAAUAAGGACCGGCUAAUUCCGUGCCAGCAGCCGC
rnacentral:rRNA from 1 species